GCCCGGGUGGCGAAACUGGUAGACGCACCAGCUUGAGGGGCUGGCGCCCGCAAGGGUGUGCAGGUUCGAAUCUUGUCCCGGGCA
rnacentral:tRNA from 1 species